rnacentral:rRNA from 1 species
GACGAACGCGGCGGCGUGCUUAACACAUGCAAGUCGAACGUGAUUUUUGUGGAAAUUCUUUCGGGAAUGGAAAUGAAAUGAAAGUGGCGAACGGGUGAGUAACACGUGAGCAACCUACCUUACACAGGGGGAUAGCCGUUGGAAACGACGAUUAAUACCGCAUGAGACCACAGAAUCGCAUGAUAUAGGGGUCAAAGAUUAUCGGUGUAAGAAGGGCUCGCGUCUGAUUAGCUAGUUGGAAGGGUAAAGGCCUACCAAGGCGACGAUCAGUAGCCGGUCUGAGAGGAUGAACGGCCACAUUGGAACUGAGACACGGUCCAAACUCCUACGGGAGGCAGCAGUGGGGAAUAUUGCACAAUGGGGGGAACCCUGAUGCAGCGACGCCGCGUGAGCGAGGAAGGUUUUCGAAUCGUAAAGCUCUGUCCUAUGAGAAGAUAAUGACGGAUCAUAGGAGAAGCC